rnacentral:rRNA from 1 species
UUCGCCCUUAGAGUUUGAUCCUGGCUCAGGACGAACGCUGGCGGCGCGCCUAACACAUGCAAGUCGAACGAGCUAAGUUCCUUCGGGGACGAAGCUAGUGGCGGACGGGUGAGUAACACGUGAGUAACCUGCCCUACAGAGUGGAAUACCGUUUGGAAACGAACGUUAAUACCGCAUAACAUAUGCGAAUCGCAUGGUUUGCAUAUCAAAGAUUUAUCGCUGUAGGAUGGACUCGCGUCUGAUUAGAUAGUUGGUGAGGUAACGGCCCACCAAGUCGACGAUCAGUAGCCGGACUGAGAGGUUGAUCGGCCACAUUGGGACUGAGACACGGCCCAGACUCCUACGGGAGGCAGCAGUGGGGGAUAUUGCACAAUGGGCGAAAGCCUGAUGCAGCGACGCCGCGUGAGGGAAGACGGUUUUCGGAUUGUAAACCUCUGUCUUCGGGGACGAAAAUGACGGUACCUGAAGAACAAGCCCCGGCUAACUACGUGCCAGCAGCCGCGGUAAUACGUAGGGGGCAAGCGUUGUCCGGAAUGACUGGGCGUAAAGGGUGUGUAGGCGGGCUCGCAAGUUGGAUGUGUAAUACCCAGAGCUUAACUCGGGUGCUGCAUCUGAAACUACGAGUCUUGAGUGUCGGAGAGGUAAGUGGAAUUCCUAGUGUAGCGGUGGAAUGCGUAGAUAUUAGGAGGAACAUCAGUGGCGAAGGCGACUUACUGGACGAUAACUGACGCUGAGGCACGAAAGCGUGGGGAGCAAACAGGAUUAGAUACCCUGGUAGUCCACGCCGUAAACGAUGGAUACAAGAUGUAGGAGGUAUGGACUCCUUCUGCGUCGCAGCUAACGCAAUAAGUAUCCCGCCUGGGGAGUACGGCCGCAAAGGUUGAAACUCAAAGGAAUUGACGGGGACCCGCACAAGCAGCGGAGCAUGUGGUUUAAUUCGAUGCAACGCGAAGAACCUUACCAAGACUUGACAUUGAUUGCAAGCCAUAGAGAUAUGGCCCUCCCUUCGGGGACAUGAAAACAGAUGGUGCAUGGUUGUCGUCAGCUCGUGUCGUGAGAUGUUGGGUUAAGUCCCGCAACGAGCGCAACCCUCAUAAAUAGUUGCCAAUAUUAAGUUAGGAACUCUAUUUAGACUGCCGUGGAUAACACGGAGGAAGGUGGGGAUGACGUCAAAUCAUCAUGCCUCUUACGUCUUGGGCUACACACGUGCUACAAUGGCUAUUACAAAGAGCUGCAAACCCGUAAGGGCAAGCGAAUCUCAAAAAGAUAGUCUCAGUUCGGACUGUGGGCUGCAACCCGCCCACACGAAGUCGGAGUUGCUAGUAAUCCCGAAUCAGAAUGUCGGGGUGAAUGCGUUCCCGGGUCUUGCACACAACGCCCGUCA